UAGUCCACACUGUAAACGAUGGGCACUAGGUGUUGGCCUUGUUAUGAGGUCAGUGCCGUAGCUAACGUGUUAAGUGCCCCGCCUGGGGAGUACGGUCGCAAGAUUGAAACUCAAAGGAAUUGACGGGGGCCCGCACAAGCGGUGGAGCAUGUGGUUUAAUUCGAUGCAACGCGCAGAACCUUACCUGGGCUUGACAUAUAGUGAGUUCAUGUAGAGAUACAUGUAGUUUGGCUUUUGUCAGACGCGCUAUACAGGUGCUGCAUGGCUGUCGUCAGCUCGUGUCGUGAGAUGUUGGGUUAAGUCCCGCAACGAGCGCAACCCUUAUUCAUAGUUGCCAUCAGGUUAAGCUGGGCACUCUAUGGAGACUGCCCCGGGAUAACGGGGGAGGAAGGGUGGGGGAUGACGUCAAGUCCU
rnacentral:rRNA from 1 species